UUUGGUGUUUGGGGCAGAGGUAUUGCUCUCAGGUAGGACAUUAAGUAUUCUGUGGGAUCUCUCAGCUUGCGUGUGCUAGUGAACUGUUCCUUAGAGAAGCAGAGGUUGUUUCCCAACCUAUGCUGGGAUGCCACAGCCCCACGCCUCAGUUUUUCCACCCAGCAAAGCCUCCUCUGGUCUCCAGUUGAAAUCAUCUUCUUUCUAAACACAGCCGCAUCUGUGUUUCAGUGGGCAUUCUGCUGUCUAGCAUUUUACCAUACUCUGUGUCUCUUACCACUUACCCUGGCAGAUUAUUAAGUUGCUCUCUUUUAAGGAACACUUCUUAUUUAUUUCAAUUCACUACUGCAGACCCCGCCCCCCUACCCAACAAGAACAGUUUUCAUUUAGUGAACCACUUACUCUGUGUAUAAGAGCCUUCAAUAUCUUAUGUAAUCUAACAUGAAUCUACUGAGAUGACUAGUCCUAUUUCCAUUCAAGUAACUAUCCACAAAGCAUAUAGAAGUAACAGAAAGACACACUUCCAACAUGGGUUUGUAAAAGUCUCUAAUUCUCAAUCUGAGGAGUCUCCUAAUCUGCACUCUUCUGCCUAGCACAGUUACUGGGAGAGUGGGUCUUCCAUAGAGAAUGUCAAUUUUACUUUCCUAAGAAUCAGCAUGACUUAAGCACAAAGAGUAAUUGCCAAGUCACCAAUCCCUCCCCUGCAUCUCACUGACGAAGACAUAGGAACCAAAGAGAGGAAAGUGCGUCAACCAAAGUUGCAGAGACAGUAGCUGCCCAUGCACACCGUUUCCCCUGCGGCAGCCACUUCUCCACCUCUAAUUUUCCUAAACACUUUCCACAGGACAGGAAUUGCUCAGUAUUGGAAAGCAUAGGAAGGAAGAGGGUGUGGAUGCAGAUGUAUUUCGUGCUGCUUGAUCGCUCUGUAUAGGACAACCAACUUCUCUGGAGCCGUACUUUCCUGAGGACUUGUGCAUAGAUCAAAUGCUGGCUUUUCUUUUCCAGUAAGUCAGCCUCCGGUGCAAGCCGCCUGAAGUUGCCAAGCCCUCCAAGAAGAAGUCCCUCAACUCCUGGUGUUUCAACGUUCUGGCUUACUCCUGACUGUCAUACUUCUUCCCUUAAAGAGUUCUCAAUGAGACUCUUCAAUUUUGUGUAUACACCGGAAGCUGAAUACUGCUGAGUCAUGCUACAGAAGCUGCCACACAAGAAAGAGGAAUUGCUGGAGCCAUGGAGAUUGCCAUGCCUGACAACCUGAGUGAUCCCUGUACCCCACAUGAUGGACCCACAGGUUAUACUCUGACCUUCAUGCAUGCACCAUGACAUGCUCACCCGAACCACAUCCCACUCAGCCCUGCGUGUGUGUGUGUGUGUGUGUGUGUGUGUGUGUGUGUCACACAUAAUAACAAUAUAUCAAUUUAGAAGGUAGAAAGGAGACAGGAUAGAUCAGGCUGGGGAUGUAGCUCAGUUGUACUUGCUGACAAGUACAAGGCCCCGUGUUCACUCCCCAUCGCUGUGUAGGCACUGUGUUACACAGCUGUAAUCCCAACGGUUGAGGUGAAGUAGUAAGACAAUCAGAAGUUCAAAGUCCUUCUGGGCUACAAAGGAAAUUUGAAGCAGCCUUGUAAACAUGAGACCCUGUGAAGAAAAAAAUGAGGAAGGAAAAAAGGGAGGAGGAGGAGAGAGAAGGAAGAAGAAGUGGAAGAGGAGGAGGAAGAGAGGGAGGAGGGGAGGAAAGAAAAAAAAAGAGGCAAUAACAUCAGGCUCACAUGUUCUUGUAUUCAUCAGUAGCCAGGAAAAUUAAAAACAACUCAGGCCCAGUAAAGACAGAUGGUCACUCAUGGGCCAGAGCUAACCCACAGAUGUGCUUUACUUGACCACACAAUAGCUCUAAAUGUUUUUGAAAUUUACUGCUACUGCUUAGGAAUUGUGUUGAUAUGUAAUAAAUUCCCUAGAGCAACUGCUCUCAGCCCACCUGCUCACCCUGCCUGAUUCCUGAAGUGACAGGUGGUAUUUGCAGCCUAGGGUCCUGCAGAUGGGUAGCAUGUGUGCCUGGUCCUCCCUUGCCCCACAAUAGCCUUUAAAAGACCAGUAAAUGACAACCUUGGAGUGACCAUGGAUUCUUCUGUCUGCAUGACAGAGCCAGGUCCUGUAGUUGCUCCCGUAGACCGUAGCCUCUCUCUUGUGCUGCCUUCUUUCUGGACACAAUUCUCUAUGUCUAUCUCCCUUUGAAAAGUGUACAUUCAGAGUCAUGCACAGUGCUCCCCAGAUCUACUUACCGAUAUAGAAGAUUCAAAGAUAGAUAUCUUUCAUAUUUAUGUACCAUUAUUUUCUACUUGGCGUCUAAACCAUCAAGCAUGAUGACAAUCCAAAUUGAAAGAUUUGUAGCAUAUGAAAUUGAUUCUUUCCCUUGAAAACAGCAAAACAGAAUAGAUUCCAGAGAAAACAGAACAUUAUUUCCUGAGAGGCACAUCUCUAACAAUGUGAGAGGAAUGACAAGCAUCUUGAAAUUGUUUUCUGUUUAUAAAUGUAAGCAGAGAGAAUCGUCUAAGGAAUCUACUUAUAAAAUCUUAUAAAAUGUUGCCAACAUAA